AAACUCAUUUCCAGUCAGUUGUGGUUCGGGCGCGGAACGGGUUAGUUGGAGAGGCUAGACGUCAUUUCGUCUCGCCAGAAACUUUCGACGCUUUCGACUGAAGUUCUCUAUAUCGCCCCCACCCCCUUUAUGGUUUCAUCGAGAAGGGACAACUCGUAUAUAUAGCAGAAGCCUUAUGUACAGUAAACAGGUGAACUGGAGAUGUUUUACAUGUGUACUUGAAAUUGAAGAGGAAUGGAAGUUCAAAAAUGUUGGAGUUUGUUUUCAAAUGAGUAAUUAAAAGUCAUUAAAGAAGGAGAGGAAGGGAACUUGUUAAAAUUGAUCGUGAAGAAAAGAAACCACUUUGGAGGCAAGGUGUAGAUGACAAGAUAAUACGAAUAUUACAGAAUGUGAUAAAGAACUGGGAUAUGUGAAGAUUGGAUUUAUCGCCCACAGAAUAGGACUUCUGUGAACAAGGAGAUGUGAUAGUGAAGUAUUCUGCACAGAGUGGGAGCAGACAACCUUCUGAGUGUGCUUUUAACUUAAAAGAAAACGAGUGAGAUAUCAACACACAGAAUGGAGGAAGCCCUCAUCAUGUCACGCCCUUCAGGAUAAGUAUCGCUGCUACAGACAUGAACAGAGAAGGCGUGUCAGCAAGUUCAACACAGAAAGAGGUUACACCGGCGACUGAAGGUCAGGUUGCUGUAUGGACCUGAUCCAGAACUCUCUCGGUGAUACAAGUGAAUUGGAUUGGUGUAUUGGUGUAUCGGUAGUCUGCUUGUAUCGGUU